rnacentral:rRNA from 1 species
GACGAACGCUGGCGGCGUGCUUAACACAUGCAAGUCGAGCGGUAAGGCCCUUUCGGGGGUACGACGAGCGGCGAACGGGUGAGUAACACGUGGGUGACCUGCCCUCAGCUCUGGGAUAAGCCUGGGAAACCGGGUCUAAUACCGGAUAUGACUCCAUGACGCAUGUUGUGGGGUGGAAAGCCUUGUGCGGCUGAGGAUGGGCCCGCGGCCUAUCAGCUUGUUGGUGGGGUGAUGGCCUACCAAGGCGACGACGGGUAGCCGGCCUGAGAGGGCGACCGGCCACACUGGGACUGAGACACGGCCCAGACUCCUACGGGAGGCAGCAGUGGGGAAUCUUGCGCAAUGGCGAAAGCCUGACGCAGCGACGCCGCGUGAGGAUGACGGCCU